rnacentral:lncRNA from 1 species
AUGAUCCCAAGAAUAGACUAUACAAAGUGAUAUGGACAGCUUCGUAGACUCGGCUGCCUUUGAACUCACAGAGAUCCACCUGCCUCUGCCUCCUGGGUGCUGGGAUUACAACCAUGCACUGCAACCGCCCAUCCAGAAAGGAAUUUUCUAGUGGAUCCAGAAGAGAUUAAUAUUGAGAAAACAUAGACUAUGACAAUAUUGAUAAGACUGGAAGCCAUUUUAAUCAGUAAAAUCAGCCAAGACUUAACAUUGCAUAAUCUCAAUCUCUUUGAAGUCUAAACUAGUUGAGUUUAUAGAACUAAGGAAUAGAACAGGAGCUGGAGAUGGUAGAUUAAAUUUGGAGACAGCAAGGUAUCUCAGUAAUGACUGUGCUUGUUGGACUGUCCAGCAUGAGGACCUGGAGCCACAGCUACAGGAGCCACAUUUUCAAACCUGAUGAGCAUGGGAUGUCCUUGAACGAUCAAGUGGAAAUCGAAGAGAGAUAUCAAGUGCUCUUGCUCCCAAAACAGAACUAGAAGAGUGGGUCUGAGAAACAGAAGAGUGUGGGUAACAAGCAGUCCAUCCGAGUUUAUGUGACAGAUGAGUGUGAGGAAUCCAAUGUAUCGUGUAGGAUAUGAGGCAGUGUGGACCCAAAGAUAAAUGGACCAGCAGUCUUUUCAGUAUGGGGGCAGCAUCGAAGAAAGAGACCCAAGAGGGAAGAUGCUCUGCGUGAAAGAAUCAGAAACAAAUAAACAACAAAUACAAGCAGGCCUCACAAGACAGCAUCUGUACCAACCCUCCAAAUGUGAGGACUUAAGGAACAUUGUAGAAUAGUGGAGAGAAAGACUGAGAGCCAGAGAAUAGAAGGGGGUGUGCAAUGUGCGUCUUCUGCACACGUCAUGGCCAUUUGCCGAACUCACGAACACACUGCUGUUGUGGUUGCCUGCCACACACCAACAGGGUCAGUCAACAAUCCAGCAAGCAGCACACACUGAACUGGGUGGGUUACAGAAAGAGAGCAAGAGAAGACAUGAAUGAGGGAAGGGGACAUGUUGGGAGUGCCUGGGGAAGUGGAAGCGAAUGUUGGGGUGGAUGUGAUCGAGAUACAUUGCUCUUAUGUAUGACAUCA